AUACAAUAUACAAUGUAUAUUCACUUUUUACUACCAACUGAUAAAUUUAAAUAAUCUUUACCAUUCAGUGAUAACAAGCAGUUUUUUUACAUCUUAAUAUUUUAUGAUGUAUUUUAAAUGAGUAGUUAUUGUUGCAAACUCCAUUAGAAAUUUUAAUUGAUAUCAGUUUUGAAAAAGGGAAAGGGGGAUGUGAAAAAAAAGGGGG
rnacentral:lncRNA from 1 species